rnacentral:lncRNA from 1 species
CUCCAUCGGCCGCAUGGCCGACACCCUCAACGAGAUCGUCCUCCUCGAUGACGGCCUCGCCGCUUGCGGACCGCCCGAGGUCGGCCUCCUCCGCCGCGGAUGAGGAGGAUGAGGGAGAAGACGAAAAUGACGAAGGGCAAAAUGGUUAUUUUGUCACGCCAUACCUCCCUCUGAAUAUUUUUUAUUUUACAAUGGGGCAAAGUAUAGGUUUUAAAUGACGGGGGGAAAGUGAAAAAGCGGAUUUUGACAGGAGAAUUUUCUGUAAUUUAGCCUAAAUAGAAAGAUAGCAUGUGCUAUCUAGUUUUCCACUAUUAAAUUUAUCUCUUUGAUUAUUUUUACCCGUUAGAUUAUACUGUUCAACCAACUACCCACUCUUAACCCACAUCAUCAUAAUUGUACAUUUUUCAAUUCAAAAACUAAAAAAUUAAUAGCACCAAAAUAAUUUGGUGUUAUUGAUAGUAUUCCAGCCCAGUACUAUAUAUAUAUAUAUAUAUAAAGAGAGAGAGAGAGAGAGAGAGAGAGAGAGAGAGAGAGAACUGGGCUGGAAUACUAUUAAUAGUACCAAAUUGUUGGUGCUAUUGAAUUUUUAGUCAUUGGAUUGAGAAAUAUACGGUUAGGAUGAUGUGGGUCCUCUAGGGUUGAGUGGGUGGUUGGUUGAAUAGUAUAAUUUAACGGAUAAAAAUAAUCAAAGAAAUUAAUCUAACGACAAAAAAUUUGAUAGCACCAAGUGCUUGGUGCUAUCGAUAGCAUAGUAGCUGAAUUCUCUCUCUCUCUCUCUCU